GAGACACAUGGAGGGGCUGGGGGUUGGGUGAGACACGUUGAGGGGUUGGGGGGUGGAAAAUAAACUUUGGACAUGGGCAGAGGUCCUCUGCCCAUGCCCAAAGUUUAUUUUCCACCCCCCAACCUCUCCCAACCCCUCCACGUGUCUCACCCAACCCCCAGCCCCUCCAUGUGUCUCUCC